GCUGCCGUAGCUCAGAGGUAGAGCACUCCCUUGGUAAGGGAGAGGCCGAGAGUUCGAUUCUCUCCGGCAGCACCA
rnacentral:tRNA from 1 species